rnacentral:sRNA from 2 species
ACGACAGUUGUAUCAGCGCUUGGUGGCGUAGGUGUGACAUACGACAAAAUGUGUCAUAUAUGCCCCAUGCACAUGGAGAGCUUGAAAAUCAUCAAACCGUGUUAUUACGCCUUCCAUGCUAGUCUUCGCCGGUAAUUUCAUCAAACAUAGUUCGGCAUUGAUAUAUGCUAGUUUGUCAUCGUUGCUCAAAGUGUGCCUGAAGUUUUAUUAGCAAUUAGUUCCCAUAGAUAUAAAAAAAAAACGAAAAAAAGGCGUAGAGUACGCUGUUCGUCCAGUUAAAGGAGAAGAAUUUGCGUACCAUGCUUUGCGUUGGGCGGGCGUAGAACAUUGCGCAGAAACAACUGAGCAUACCAGAGGGAAGAAGAGAAUGGCUCUGAAGAGCCAAACCAUACUGAGCCUUAUGCGAUUGGCUUUGAGUUUGAAGUUAUCUUGUCAUUGGAGGCGUAGAUAAUAGGGGGGG